rnacentral:rRNA from 2 species
CAGUAACGGCGAGUGAAGCGGCAACAGCUCAAAUUUGAAAUCUGGCUCCUUCGGGGUCCGAAUUGUAAUUUGUAGAGAGUGCUUCGGGCGAGACCUCGGUCUAAGUCCAUUGGAACAUGGUGUCAUAGAGGGUGAGAAUCCCGUAUGCGACCGUGGCUCGAGCCCAUGUGAAGCCUCUUCGACGAGUCGAGUUGUUUGGGAAUGCAGCUCAAAAUGGGUGGUAAAUUUCAUCUAAAGCUAAAUACUGGCUGGAGACCGAUAGCGCACAAGUAGAGUGAUCGAAAGAUGAAAAGCACUUUGGAAAGAGAGUCAAACAGUACGUGAAAUUGUUGAAAGGGAAGCGCUUGCAACCAGACCUGCCCGUAGGCGAUCAGCCGCUGUUCUCAGCGGUGUACUCGCUCUGCGAUCAGGCCAGCAUCGGUUUCGGCGGUCGGAUAAAGGCCUUGGGAAUGUAGCUUCCCUUCGGGGGAGUCUUAUAGCCCUCGGUGCAAUGCGGCCAGCCGGGACCGAGGACCGCGCUUCGGCUAGGAUGCUGGCGUAAUGGUUGUAAGCGACCCGUCUUGAAACACGGACCAAGGAGUCUAACAUCUAUGCGAGUGUUUGGGUGUCAAACCCAUACGCGGAAUGAAAGUGAACGGAGGUGAGAACCCUUAAGGGCGCAUCAUCGACCGAUCCAGAUGUCUUCGGAUGGAUUUGAGUAUGAGCAUAGCUGUUGGGACCCGAAAGAUGGUGAACUAUGCCUGAAUAGGGUGAAGCCAGAGGAAACUCUGGUGGAGGCUCGCAGCGGUUCUGACGUGCAAAUCGAUCGUCAAAUUUGGGUAUAGGGGCGAAAGACUAAUC